GGUUAAUUACCUCGUUAGUAGAUACUCAUUUGAUAUUUCAUAAUCAUUUUCAUAUGGAUCAUACGGAACGUAUAGCAAUGUUAGCGGGAGUUUUAGUGAUGCUUAUAGGAAUUUAUAUUCAUAGAAUGAGAAAACUUAGUCAUGUGCAUGAAUUAAGGCUUGAAGGUGAGAAAGUUCGAGCCAAGCUUAUGGAAAGCUUAGUAUCAAGUGAGUUCUGUCGGCACAUUAUUAGGUGACAGCUCCAUCAUUUACAAAAUUAUGUCAUCUACUAGUUACAGAAUGUGGACUUAGACCUACCAUUCGUGUAACUGUACAGGAAAAAUACUCAAGACACUUUACUUAUUAUAACACAGUCAA
rnacentral:lncRNA from 1 species